rnacentral:rRNA from 1 species
ACAAGCGGUGGAGCAUGUGGUUAAUUCGACGCAACGCGAAGAACCUUACCAGGCUUGACAUCCCCUGACCGCGUAUGAAAGUACGUUUUCACCCUCGGGUGACAGGGAGACAGGUGGUGCAUGGUUGUCGUCAGCUCGUGUCGUGAGAUGUUGGGUUAAGUCCCGCAACGAGCGCAACCCCUACGUUUAGUUGCUAACGCGUGAAGGCGAGCACUCUAGACGAACUGCCGUUGACAAAACGGAGGAAGGUGGGAUGACGUCAAAUCAUCAUGCCCCUUAUGUUCUGGGCUACACACGUGCUACAAUGGCCGGUACAGACGGACGCAAAGCCGCGAGGUGGAGCAAAUCCUAAAAAGCCGGUCUCAGUUCGGAUUGCAGGCUGCAAUUCGCCUGCAUGAAGUCGGAAUCGCUAGUAAUCGCAGGUCAGCAUACUGCGGUGAAUACGUUCCCGGGCCUU